AAUAACAAAGAAGAAUCUAAACCAGUUUAAGGUAUGCUCCUGGAACUGUUCAAAAUCUUCUGGGCAUGAAGCAUUGUUAUCUUUUUCAGAGUAACAUAGGAAAAAAUGAAAUUCACUGUUGGGCAAGUCAAAACGUUGUUUUCUUUGUGGUGUGUGGGAUUUCUGGUUUGAGUUAUCUUGCCUGUUCUUGCAGGAAGGAAAUUCAUGGAUCUACAGGAUUACAAGAAUUUAUGAAAAUGUUAGAACCUGAAAGUUGUUUAUUUUGGUGGCUCCAAAAUUUGAAAGGUAAACUGUAAGACAGAAAUUAGUAAAGAUUUAAUAAAAUGUCUAUAAAAUACAUUAUGUCAGCUAACUUAGUCUCCUGGGUUCAAGCGAUUCUCCUGCUUCAGCCUCCCUAGUAGCCAGUAUCACAGGCCUGCGCCACCACGCCUGGCUAAUUUUUGUAUUUUUAGUAGAGACAGGGUUUCACCAUGUUGGCCUGGCUGGUCUCGAACUUCUGACCUCAGGUAAUCCACCUGCCUCGGCCUCCCAAAGUGCUGGGAUUACAGGCUUGAGCCACUGUGCCCAGUCGAGUAUGAACUUCAUGUCAGGAGAGAUAAAGAAUCUUGACAUUUGGCUGGUCGCAGUGGCUCACGCCUGUAAUUGGGAGGCAGAGGCGGGUGGAUCACUUGAGGUCAGGUGUUUGAGCCCAGCCUGGCCAACAUGGUGAAAUCCCAUCUCUACUAAAAAUACAAAAAGUAGCCAGGCAUGGUGGCUCACGCCUGUAGUCCCAGCUACUUGGGAGGCUGAGGCAGGAGAAUCGUGUGAACCCGAGAGGUGGAGGUUGCAGUGAGCCAAGAUCGUGCCACUGCACUCCAGCCUAGGUAACAGAGCGAGAUUCUGUCUCAAAAAAAACAAAACAGAACAAAACAAAAACUUGACAUUUAUCUAAGCCAUGAAAAAUCUGAGUGAACUAUCCUUGUCCUAAACCUACAUUAUGCAUCUCUGUCUACCAGAUUCAGUGUCUCAAUAAUCGUUAGACAAUUUUAGGUGAAUAGUGUCCAAUUUUGAGAUGGAGUUUCGCCCUUGUUGCCACCACGCCCGGUAGAGAUGAGGUUUCUCCAUGUUGGUCAGGCUGGUCUUGAACUCCCCACCUCGCCCAUCUCGGCCUCCCAAAGUGCUGGCAUCUAUGUGGUUGCAUGUAUCUGUAGUUACUUUAUUUUAUUAUUGAAUGAGUCCGGAAUACACAGCUGUGGCAUAAAAAUUAUUUUGAGUAGAAGGCCAUCUGAGUUCUUGAAAUCUCUUAUAUCCCUGAAAGCAGAGCCUCCCAAAAGAAUUCAGUUUUUGUAAAUCCCUUCCCAGCAAAGCAACCAGGGACAAUUGACUCUUAUCACCACUAAUGAGAAGUC
rnacentral:lncRNA from 1 species